rnacentral:rRNA from 1 species
CCUACGGGCGGCUGCAGUGGGGAAUAUUGGACAAUGGGCGCAAGCCUGAUCCAGCAAUGCCGCGUGUGUGAAGAAGGCCCUCGGGUUGUAAAGCACUUUUAUCAGGAACGAAAUACCACGGGUUAAUACCCUAUGGGGCUGACGGUACCUGAGGAAUAAGCACCGGCUAACUUCGUGCCAGCAGCCGCGGUAAUACGAAGGGGGCAAGCGGUAAUCGGAAUGACUGGGCGCGAAGGGUUAGGUCGCUGUUGAAAUCCCCGGGCUCAACCUGGGAAUGGCAAUGGAUACUGGCGAGCUAGAGUGUGUCAGAGGAUGGUGGAAUUCCCGGUGUAGCGGUGAAAUGCGUAGAGAUCGGGAGGAACAUCAGUGGCGAAGGCGGCCAUCUGGGACAACACUGACGCUGAAGCACGAAAGCGUGGGGAGCAAACAGGAUUAGAUACCCCGGUAGUC